rnacentral:rRNA from 1 species
UCGAGAAUCUUCGGCAAUGGGCGAAAGCCUGACCGAGCAAUGCCGCGUGCGGGAUGAAGGCCCUCGGGUUGUAAACCGCUGUCGUAGGGGAGAAAGGUCUCAUGAAGAAUGAGAUUUGAUCUAUCCUAGGAGGAAGUCCGGGCUAAGUUCGUGCCAGCAGCCGCGGUAACACGAACCGGACAAACGUUAUUCGGAAUUAUUGGGCUUAAAGGGUGCGUAGGCGGUGCGGUAAGUGAGGUGUGAAAGCCCUCGGCUCAACCGAGGAAUUGCGCUUCAUACUGCCGUGCUGGAGGGAGACAGAGGUAAGCGGAACUGAUGGUGGAGCGGUGAAAUGCGUUGAUAUCAUCAGGAACACCGGUGGCGAAAGCGGCUUACUGGGUCUCUUCUGACGCUGAGGCACGAAAGCUAGGGUAGCGAACGGGAUUAGAUACCCCAGUAGUCCCUGAGCGGGCUGGCAAGGCGCAU